UACGUAGGGGGCAAGCGUUAUCCGGAUUUACUGGGUGUAAAGGGAGCGUAGACGGAAUUGCAAGUCUGAUGUGAAAAUCCGGGGCCCAACCCCGGAACUGCAUUGGAAACUGUAUUUCUAGAGUGUCGGAGAGGCAAGCGGAAUUCCUGGUGUAGUGGUGAAAUGCGUAGAUAUCAGGAGGAACACCAGUGGCGAAGGCGGCUUGCUGGACGAUGACUGACGUUGAGGCUCGAAAGCGUGGGGAGCAAACAGG
rnacentral:rRNA from 1 species